UUCUUGCCAAUGCCUUUUUUGUAGAGGCUUUAAUAUCCAGAUGAACAUGUGCAAAAGUCUUGUUUACUUCAGACUAAUUUAAGGUUUCAUAACAAGGACACUGUCUUCUCUGUCAAAGACACCAUUUGUUUAUGUUUGUUGAUAGUGUAAUGAAGAGUUUUAGAGAGAAUGCCGAUACAUCUGUCGAUUAUCCAAUGCAAGGUAUAAGCAUUUUGGACAAUUUGCUCCAUUGGGAGGAGAGCAAACUGCAGCUCAACUUCCGGGAGAUUGGAUUUCCGUUGGCUAUAGUACUCAGUGGCUCUGGUACGCGGUGUAUACAAGUAAGCUAGUCAGCUGGCGCACGAGAGUGUUAGUGGUAUCUGACUGGCUUAGAAGGUCAAUAUUCGGAAGAGAUUCAAGUCGAAUCUGAGAGUUCUGGAGCAUGAAUCUUGCAAAACAACUACUGAAGCUCAGGCAAUUCUUAGCAGAUUUUAUUCCACCUUCAGCUCAAAACCUCACAUAAUUAUCUUUGUUUGUCAGUGUUUUUCCUGACUGUUUCAUUAAAAAAUAAGUUCUUAGCAGAAAAACUUUUGCUGGAAAAAACUUUUGGGUACAAUACUUGCCCUUAGUUUCGGAUUGUUUAGGAAUAUUGGCGAAUCCUAAUUCCAUUUUAACCAA